rnacentral:rRNA from 1 species
GAUGAACGCUAGCGGCAGGCCUAACACAUGCAAGUCGAGCGGGAUUCACCUUCGGGUGAUGAGAGCGGCGCACGGGUGCGUAACGCGUAUACAAUCUACCUUUUGCUACGGGAUAGCCCAGAGAAAUUUGGAUUAAUAUCGUAUAGUAUAUUUUGUUUUCAUGAACAUUAUAUUAAAGGUUACGGCAAAAGAUGAGUAUGCGUCCUAUUAGCUAGAUGGUGUGGUAACGGCAUACCAUGGCAACGAUAGGUAGGGGCCCUGAGAGGGGGAUCCCCCACACUGGUACUGAGACACGGACCAGACUCCUACGGGAGGCAGCAGUGAGGAAUAUUGGACAAUGGGCGCAAGCCUGAUCCAGCCAUGCCGCGUGCAGGAAGACUGCCCUAUGGGUUGUAAACUGCUUUUAUACAGGAAGAAACACCUCUACGUGUAGAGACUUGACGGUACUGUAAGAAUAAGGAUCGGCUAACUCCGUGCCAGCAGCCGCGGUAAUACGGAGGAUCCAAGCGUUAUCCGGAAUCAUUGGGUUUAAAGGGUCCGUAGGUGGAUAAUUAAGUCAGGGGUGAAAGUCUGCAGCUCAACUGUAGAAUUGCCUUUGAUACUGGUUAUC